UACGUAGGGUGCGAGCGUUGUCCGGAAUUAUUGGGCGUAAAGAGCUCGUAGGCGGUUUGUCGCGUCGGAUGUGAAAACCCAGGGCUCAACCCUGGGCCUGCAUUCGAUACGGGCAGACUAGAGUUCGGUAGGGGAGACUGGAAUUCCUGGUGUAGCGGUGAAAUGCGUAGAUAUCUGGAGGAACACCGGUGGCGAAGGCGGCAUCCUGGACCAACACUGACACUGAGGAGCGAAAGCCAGGGGAGCAAACGGG
rnacentral:rRNA from 1 species